AUAAAGGCGUCUUUAGAUGGAAGCGUUUAGCGUCAAGCGUCGAGCGUCAAAAACACGUGCGCAGCACCCUUGCGCAUAAUUCUGAACAGGCAGAUUCCAGCAUCUUGACGCUAAAACCGCUAAAACAAUGUCUAGUAACAAAAUUUUAAUAAAUACGGUAGAGAUGAUUUACUGACUGCUCCAGCGUUUCAACAAAUCACUAGGCACACUGUGCAUGUCACACUUUUUGACGCUUUAACGCUCGACGCUAAAACGCUCCCAUGUAAAGGCACCUUUAUAGUGUUGAUUUCUUGCGGCCAUUUGCUUCUUCGCGUGUCGGUUACUUGUUAUUCUUUUUAUUAGAAGGGAGUCACAUGGUCAGGUGAUUUUGGAGAUGAUAUUUGUUGCAAACAAUAUAAAUACUGCAGAAUAUGGAAACAGGUGAUACUUCGUUGCAUAGGUGUUUAAAUCUUCUACAUUUGUCGCGCUACACGCGAAAGUAUCAAGCUUAUUUAUCAAAAAAAGGAUUCAGCCCGCCAGUGAAUGCUUGAGACGCGUAUACAAUAAGACAGCCUAUAUUUGGUUGUUAGCAACAUUAAUAUUUUACAUAAUGUGAUAUCUCUCCCGAUAUUUGAACCUUUGAGACUACAAAAAAUGGAAAAAUUGUCACUGCUGAUUAUGUUUUGUCUAUAUUGUUCGAUUGUAAAUGCAACAGUAUCAAGUAUAGUUGGCAUGUCAAAUGCAGUAUCUCCUAAAUGUAGUACAAAUACUGCAACAAACAAUCAAGCUAAUCAGAAUGCAAAAACUAUCGAUGAAGAGUAUGAUACUUUGGCGAUUAUAGUUGCUGAAAAAAGUCUAUUAGAAAUAUUGGGACAAGUAUCAAACAUUAUCAAAAAUAGCACAUGUACGGGAGGACAUGCUUAUACAUUGAAAAGAGAACAAAAGCAUUCUUUAGAAAAAGAUGCGUUAAAUCAAUCCGAUUCUAUUAUGUAUUAUGAAGAUCUUUUGAGUUGCUCAGAGAACUCUACUGAUGAAGAGGAGGACAGCGAGCCCAUUUUGGGACUAUGGUUUGAAGAAACCCUUUCUCUAUCAGAUAAAAUUUCAAGAAAUGCCAAUAAAGAAAAAAAUAAUGAAGCAAGUGCUGGACAUAUUGCUAGAUCACCAUCGUUCCAGACAAUCGAAAGCGUAAUGAAAAAAUGGCGAAGACAUGGACAAUUGUCAUGUUUACAGAUGAAAAUACUGUGAAAGUAGUUCCAACGAAUUGGAUACAAAAUAACAAGUGUUAUUGGCCGUCGCUUACAUCUGACAAAAUGAUAUCUGCAAUAAAAAAUCAUGACGCACCUAAUUAUUCUUGGGCCCUCAUAUCCCAUUCGACUUGAAAUGAAACUUUCGCCAAUUAUUCCAUAGCACAAGAAAAAUGCCGUAAGGCAGAAUAUUCGUCCGAUAUAAAUUCUGAUAGAUCACUCGAAAAUAAAAAAAAGGGUAAUGACAAAAAAAAACAUACGGCUCCUCAUUUGAGGAGAACAGUCUAUUAUUAUUGGAUGAUAGUAAUAAUUUGUCGACAAAAUUGUUGACUCCUCCACGUUUAACAAAUAGUUCACACCAGUAUUUCUAUAAAAACAAAACCCCAAAAAAAGAGUGAAGCUAUUAAUCCCUCUCUAAGAAAGGCAUGUUAUUGACAUUGUUGCAUCUUUUCCGCGAUGAUGAUUGGUUAUUGGUCGUCAAUAGUAAUUUGCUGAGCGACUUAUUUCAUUCGUGUCGUUUGACAGUUCGACAGUUUGACAGUUUGACAGUUUGACAGUUUGACAGGUUGAAAAGAAGAAAAAUAAAAUAAAUUAAAGUUAAAGAGUAAAAGGGUGGAAGAAGAGAGAAACAAAAAGGGAGAGAGACAUACAAAGUAAAGAAGAGAGGAAUAUUAGUUAAUGAAUAUUAUUAUUAAAUAUUAUUAUCUUUAAUAUAUUUAAUUUUUGGAAAUUGUUGAGGAUAUUUUUGCUGGAGUGAGACGAUCGUUUAUGCGAAAACUUUACAUGCGUUUAUUUGCGACUGACUGUGCGUGUUACAUUUGUGGAACAAAAGAGAAAAGACACUAAAAAGAUACUAGACAGGAAACAAAAGGAGUGAGCCGUGCAGCUCACCGCGGGGCGCUACAAUCGUCCAAUAGUGGUGACUUAGGGCGGAUUUCUAACACUCCCCCUCGAAUGUAGCGCUGUUCUCAUCGUUCGCUGUUUUUCUGACUCCGAUCAAUUUUAAGCAUUUGUGAUGUUUGUUUCCGGAUAGCCUUUUGGUAAGAAAAUCCGCUGGCAUCCUUUCUGUGGGCAGGUGUUCAAUCUUUAGUCGACCCUCAAGAACUGCAUCUCUUACGAAGUGGUGCCUAAUGUCGAUGUGCUUUGACCUUGCAUGAAAAGUGUGACUUUGUGCCAAUAGUUGAGCUCCUCGAUUGUCGUUCAUCACCCUGACCUGUUUGAGAUUGAGCAGUCCCAGUUCUGACACGAAUUUUUGUAGGUAUAAGGCCUCCCUCGUAGCCUCAGUCAAUGCCAUGUACUCCGCCUCAGUAGAGGAGAGGGCGACAGUACGUUGCUUCCUGGAUUCCCAACUGAUAGCAGCAUUAUUCAGCAGAAAAACAAAUCCAGUGUAGGAUUUUCGAUCUACCGGGCACCCGGCCCAAUCUGCGUCCACAAAACCUUCCAGAGUCCCCGAGCUUUUGGUAUACGUGAUUUUUAGAUCCGUGGUUCCUUUCAGGUAGCGUAAGACGCGUUUCGCCGCUUUCCAAUGUUGCUCAUUAUGGCAGUUGUUGAACUGGCUAAGGCGGCUAACGAUGUGGGAUAUAUCUGGUCUCGUCGCAAUAGCCAGGUAGUUGAGUGCUCCGAUGAGUUCCUGAUAGGGCCUCAUUUCUGGGACCUUGCUCGAUUUGUCGACGGCCUUGUCGAGCUUUGCACCUAUCUCAAUAGGAGUAAGAACGGGAUUGCAAUCUUCCAUCCUGAAGCGUGAUAGAAGUUCUCGAAUGUAUCCUGACUGAGAGAUCGCGAUGUAGUCGUCACCUCUGGUAAUUUCGAUUCCCAAGCAAUAGCGUGCAUCUCCCAGAUCCUUAACUUCGAAUUCCUGUAACAAACCUUUACGAACAAUGUUAAGAUCUUUCUCUCUGCGAUAAAAUAUCAAAAUAUCGUCUACGUAGACUAGGACGAACAGGGGAUCUCCCCCUCGUUUGAGAUAAUAGACGCACGGAUCUGCGUUGGUUGAUGUGAGACCCAGAGAGUUAAGUCUCUCGUUUAAUCUCUUGUGCCACUGACGACCAGCCUGUUUCAAUCCGUAGAGUGCCCUUUGCAGCUGACAAGCUUUGUCUCCUCCUUGGAUCUGCUUUAACAUUUUCUUCGCACGAUCUCCGAUGGUGCUUUUGUCUCCCCUCCGGGAGGCAAUUUUCUUCAAGCUUUCCGCGAGUCCCUCGGGUAAUUCCAUAUAAAUUUCUUCUUCAAUGUUGCCGUUUAGAUAAGCAGUUGUAAUAUCCAGUUGAUGCACUUUAAAGUCGUGCCUGAUUGCGAGAGCAAGUAGUAAGCGUAAAGAUCCUAAUCGGGCGACGGGAGCGAAGGUAUCGUGAUAAUCGAUACCGGGUCGCUGUGUGAAGCCUCUUGCCACGAGUCUCGCUUUUCUCCUCUCAAUCUGUCCGUCUGCUUUAUACUUGUUCCUUAGGACCAUUCUGCAUCCAAUGACAUGGUGAUGCUUAGGGUGCUCGACGAUUCGCCAUGUAUUAUUCUUGAUUAAGCACUCAAUUUCCUCAGUGAUUGCAUUUUCCCAUUCAUCCUUAUGUGGUCCUGUUAUUGCCUGUUGGUAGGGAAUCUCCGAUGAAAUACUUGUCAAAUUUACUUCCGGUGUGUCCGAAUCAAUCGAUUCUUCGUGAUUAGAAAUACGGUCGACGUCUUCCUCUCCGUUGGCUUCUAGUGAUUCGUUUCUUUCCUGUAGAAGCUGAUAUAGUUUUCGUGGACGACCUCGCCUUCCCGUAAGGAGUUUCUUGGGUCUACCCGGCCCCCUUUUGAAAGCGUUGAUGGGAGUGUCGCGAUUUUCUUCGUCUUCGUCAGUCAUGACGAGUUCCUGCUGCUCCUCGUGAUUUUCCUCACUUACUUCAGUCGUGGCGAGCUCGUGCUGUCCGUUCUCUGAUCCUUUGCCGUUUUCGAGACCUAUAUGAAGUUCAGAGUAUGCAGGUAUUUUCCUUGGAGUAUCGGCUGAUCCUUUCACUAUUUCGGUAGCAUUGAAAAAUUUUACAUCGCGCGUUAUAAUCACUCUCUGCUUGUUUGGGACCCAAACUCGAUAGCUUCUGGAUGGUUCAUCAUACCCGAGAAAGUUGCACCUUAUUCCUCGUAAAUCAAGCUUUCCUUUUCCGGGAACCUUAUCAAGCGCAUAGCCUGCCUCUCCAAAAAUCCGCAUGUGUUCUACGUUUGGACGUCUCCCGUGCCAUAGUUCGAAUGGCGUUCUUCUGUUUAAUAUCUUCGUGAUGCAUCGAUUUCUAAUGUAACUCGCAGUAGCCACUGCUUCGGCCCAGAAUGAGAUGGGGAGUUUCGAUUGCGUCAUCAGACAGCGUGCCAUUUCCAUAAGAGUGCGAUUUUUCCUCUCAGCCACUCCGUUUAACUGAGAUGUAUAUGGCGUUGUGAGUCUUCGUUUGACCCCUUCCUUUUUCAAGAAUUUAUCGAACUCCUCGUUGCAGAAUUCUCGUCCGUUGUCUGAUUGAAGGCUCUUGAUUUUCUGUCCGGUCUGUUUCUCGACGAGGGCCUUGAAUUCUUUAAAUGCCUGUAAUGUCUCACUCUUUUUAUGUAGGAAGCGCACCUCUGUCCAGCGGGAAUAAUCGUCUGUGAAGGUGAGAACAUAUCUGGCUCUUCCUCUGGAUUCAUUUCGCAUCGGCCCGCAUAUAUCAGUGUGAACGAUGUCCAAUAUCUGACUGCACCUUUGCGAUUGUUUGCCGAACGGCUUUGCCGUGAGUUUGGCCUCCGCACAGACCUCACAAGUGGUAACCGUUUUGUCGUUUCCCAGGUGGAGUCCAGAUACUGCUUCUUUUCUGCUCAUUUCCAGGAUAUCGUUCCAAUUUAAAUGGCCGAAUCUCUCGUGCCAAACAGCCAUCGGUGAUUUAUUUGCUUUAGUCGAGGCUGCAUAAGUCGAUUCCUUUCUCGAUUCGCGAAGAAAGUAUAGGUCUCCUUUUCUAUCUGCUACAAGGACCGUUGUUCCCCUUUUGUUCUUUAUCUCUGCCCCUUCUUUUGUGAAUAUGAUACGAUUUCCGGCGUCCGUGAUCUUAGCAACAGAAAUUAGGUUAUUCCUUAGAUCGGGUACGUGUAGUGUAUUUUCCAGAUACACGGCUCUGGUCGUGUUUCCAUCUGUGGCAGUGACCUUCACGGUGCCCUUCGCCUUUAUGUCGGUGGAGCCAUGAUUUGCCAGGUUGAGUCUCGUGUUCUCGGUGUUUGAUAUUUCCUCAAAUUUCUCCUCGUCGCGACAUAGGUGCGAUGUGCAUCCGCUAUCAAUGCACCAGGCGUUAUCCUUCCAAUCAUUUCCUGCGGAACAUGAGAUAACAUUAGCUACAGAGGUUAGGAAAGAAAUGUCCUCACCGACGGCAGCCUUCUCCUUGUUUUCAUGACGUUUCGUACACCGCUCGUCUUUCUCGGGACAAUCAAUGGCCUUGUGAUCAAUUUUUCGGCACCGAUGACACCUGUAUUUGAACGUGGCGUCAGAAUCUUUUGUCUUGUCGAUGGAUUUAUUGGUUGCUUUACUGAUUCUUUUUAUGUUCGGCUUUCCCUUUCGAGCAAACAUGGCGCGAUCAUCGACUUGGCCCCGUUGUCUUCUCGUUGUAUUUUCGUCAAGAAUUUUGAUUUUUAGAUUUUCCGGGGUGGGUAAUUCAUCUCUCGAUUCGAUUGCACAUCUAAAAUUCUCGAAACUUUCGGGUAAACUAUGUAGCAGCAUAAUGGAUUGUAAUUCGGUACUGACCUGUACGGAUAAUUCUGAUAAUUUGUCGACUAUGUCGAAGAAUUCGUCGACAUGUUGUUGUACGUCGCCAUUUUCACCAAGUCGAUGACUCGUCAAUCGUCUCCAUAACGAUACCUUUUUCGCAGGUCCUUUUGAUUCGAAAAUCGACUCCAGCUUCAGCCAAAUUUCCCGGGCCGUUGUGCAGUAUCGGAUCUGCUUGAGUUCGGCGUCACCGACUGCGAGAUAUAAAUCAGCCUUUGCCUUUCCGUCCUCUUCCCUCCACGUUUGCAGUGUUUCGGCAGUUUGCGGUGCCGGUCUUUCUCCACUCGCGUAGGCCCAUGUUUUAUUUUUUGUCAUCAAUGCCUGUAUUCUUAGCUUCCAGGUAUCGUAGUUAUCUCUGGAUAGCAAUGGUAUGCGCGUUAUGUUCGCCCCUUGUCCGUCCAUAUUCGUCGCGUAAUGGCGUUGCAAUUUCACGUGUCUUCCGUGGCACGAUUUCUUGUUUUUUUUUUUUUUUGUUAUUCCUGCAGAUUACUAACGUUUGGUAACUGAGUAAAACUAAGUAGUCAGGCGAUUAAUAACUCCUGGGCCCAUAACCUGUUGAGGAUAUUUUUGCUGGAGUGAGACGAUCGUUUAUGCGAAAACUUUACAUGCGUUUAUUUGCGACUGACUGUGCGUGUUACAUUUGUGGAACAAAAGAGAAAAGACACUAAAAAGAUACUAGACAGGAAACAAAAGGAGUGAGCCGUGCAGCUCACCGCGGGGCGCUACAAUCGUCCAAUAGUGGUGACUUAGGGCGGAUUUCUAACAGAAAUAAAUGUUUAAAUGUUAAACAUUAAAUGUUUUCUUUAAAGUAGGAGAGAGAGAAAAAGAGAAGAUAGAAGAAUAAGCAUAAAAAGUAAGAAGAAAGUUCGUAAAAUAUUCAAUAUUUAAUUAUUGUGUUUUGGAAAGCUCUUGAGAUAAGUUACAAAAAUAUGUAAUGAAAAGUAGGGAUUAAUGAUUUUUCAAUCCUUUUUUUCUUUGAGUUAUUAUUUAAAUGAAAUUAGCUGUGGAGUAAAAAUCAAUAUCACCGAAUGUGAAAAAAUCAAUAACAGAUGACAGAUUGCUACACCUAUAAAUGUAUAAAUGUUGUUACGGAUCUGAGCUCGCAAACUUUAAUUGCUUAUAAUUCGAAAAUUAUUG
rnacentral:misc_RNA from 1 species